ACGCACGCUGGCGGCGUGCUUAACACAUGCAAGUCGCACGGAAAGGCCCUGCUUUUGUGGGGUGCUCGAGUGGCGAACGGGUGAGUAACACGUGAGUAACCUGCCCUUGACUUUGGGAUAACUUCAGGAAACUGGGGCUAAUACCGGAUAGGAGCUCCUGCUGCAUGGUGGGGGUUGGAAAGUUUCGGCGGUUGGGGAUGGACUCGCGGCUUAUCAGCUUGUUGGUGGGGUAGUGGCUUACCAAGGCUUUGACGGGUAGCCGGCCUGAGAGGGUGACCAGCCACAUUGGGACUGAGAUACGGCCCAGACUCCUACGGGAGGCAGCAGUGGGGAAUAUUGCACAAUGGGCGGAAGCCUGAUGCAGCAACGCCGCGUGCGGGAUGACGGCCUUCGGGUUGUAAACCGCUUUCGCCUGUGACGAAGCGUGAGUGACGGUAAUGGGUAAAGAAGCACCGGCUAACUACGUG
rnacentral:rRNA from 1 species